GACGAACCGUGCGAACGUUAUUCGGAAUCACUGGGCUUAAAGCGCGUGUAGGCGGAAGGGCACGUCCGUUGCUGAAAUCCCCCGGCUCAACCGGGGAACGGGCGCGGAUACGACUCUUCUGGAGGGGCGUAGGGGGACCUGGAACUUCCGGUGGAGCGGUGAAAUGCGUUGAGAUCGGAAGGAACGCCCGUGGCGAAAGCGAGGUCCUGGACGCCUACUGACGCUGAGACGCGAAAGCUAGGGGAGCAAACAGG
rnacentral:rRNA from 1 species